rnacentral:rRNA from 1 species
UGGGGAAUAUUGGACAAUGGGCGCAAGCCUGAUCCAGCCAUGCCGCGUGAGUGAUGAAGGUCUUAGGAUUGUAAAGCUCUUUCACCGGAGAAGAUAAUGACGGUAUCCGGAGAAGAAGCCCCGGCUAACUUCGUGCCAGCAGCCGCGGUAAUACGAAGGGGGCUAGCGUUGUUCGGAAUUACUGGGCGUAAAGCGCACGUAGGCGGAUAUUUAAGUCAGGGGUGAAAUCCCAGAGCUCAACUCUGGAACUGCCUUUGAUACUGGGUAUCUAGAGUAUGGAAGAGGUGAGUGGAAUUCCGAGUGUAGAGGUGAAAUUCGUAGAUAUUCGGAAGAACACCAGUGGCGAAGGCGACUCGCUGGACAGGUAUUGACGCUGAGGUGCGAAAGCGUGGGGAGCAAAC